UGAUCUCCUGCGCCACCUUCUGGUACAAAUCCUGACUGUUAAGCACCAUAGACUCCAGGAUGGCUAGAGAUCUCUGCAGCACGGCAGAGUCUGUGGAUGACUUGCACACAAAACAUGCAAUCUGCAGGGGAAACAAAAAACACCUUGGUGGAUCUGUCAGAGCCACACAAUAAUGUUUCCUGUUCCUGCCCGUCAGGGAUGGAUGAUGAAGAAAUACUGUCCAGACACACAUGCUGGAGGGGGGGUGGCACAGCAUGGCAUCACUCUUCAAAUAAGCCUUGCCACACUAGCACUGAUUGUAAUUUUGGCACUUGUUAGAAAACAUAUUGACAUGCUGGUGGUUUGUAUUUGUAUGUGCUUGUGGGUGGAGAUUAAUUAAAUAAAAAAAGAGCUAAAUUCGAA